AGUGAACGCUGGCGGUAGGCCUAACACAUGCAAGUCGAACGGCAGCACAGUAAGAGCUUGCUCUUACGGGUGGCGAGUGGCGGACGGGUGAGGAAUAAAACGGAAUCUACUUUUUCGUGGGGGAUAACGUAGGGAAACUUACGCUAAUACAGCAUACGACCUACGGGUGAAAGAAGGGACUCUUCGGACCUUGCGCGAUUGAAUGAGCCGAUGUCGGAUUAGCUAGUUGGCGGGGUAAAGGCCCACCAAGGCGACGAUCCGUAGCUGGUCUGAGAGGAUGAUCAGCCACACUGGAACUGAGACACGGUCCAGACUCCUACGGGAGGCAGCAGUGGGGAAUAUUGGACCAUGGGCGCAAGCCUGAUCCAGCCAUACCGCGUGGGUGAAGAAGGCCUUCGGGUUGUAAAGCCCUUUUGUUGGGAAAGAAAAGCAGCAGGUUAAUACCCCGCUGUUCUGACGGUACCCAAAGAAUAAGCACCGGCUAACUUCGUG
rnacentral:rRNA from 1 species